ACGGGUGAGUAACACGUAGGCAACCUGCCCUCAAGCUUGGGACAACUACCGGAAACGGUAGCUAAUACCGAAUACUUGUUUUCUUCGCCUGAAGGAAAUUGGAAAGACGGAGCAAUCUGUCACUUGGGGAUGGGCCUGCGGCGCAUUAGCUAGUUGGUGAGGUAACGGCUCACCAAGGCGACGAUGCGUAGCCGACCUGAGAGGGUGAUCGGCCACACUGGGACUGAGACACGGCCCAGACUCCUACGGGAGGCAGCAGUAGGGAAUCUUCCGCAAUGGGCGAAAGCCUGACGGAGCAAUGCCGCGUGAGUGAUGAAGGUUUUCGGAUCGUAAAGCUCUGUUGCCAGGGAAGAACGCUUGGGAGAGUAACUGCUCCCAAGGUGACGGUACCUGAGAAGAAAGCCCCGGCUAACUACGUGCCAGCAGCCGCGGUAAUACGUAGGGGGCAAGCGUUGUCCGGAAUUAUUGGGCGUAAAGCGCGCGCAGGCGGUCAUGUAAGUCUGGUGUUUAAUCCCGGGGCUCAACCCCGGAUCGCACUGGAAACUGCGUGACUUGAGUGCAGAAGAGGAGAGUGGAAU
rnacentral:rRNA from 1 species